ACGGAGCUUGCAGACGCAGUCAAGUUUUGGCUGCUUCGUCCUCCUUGUUCGGCAACGAAAAAUGACCCAACCCGCCUAGGACGCCCGCCCAGCCGCCUAGAGCCCUCCUAGCCGCCUAGCGCCCGCCUAGCCGCCUAGCCGCCUAGCCGUCCGCCUAGCCCCAUUUUUUGAACACUGCGAUUGACUGGAAGUCUGAAACCCGAAAUUGAAAAAGUUUACCUGCAAAUUUGAGCUUGAGAUUGAGAUUUGAAAGCCGAAGCAAGCACAGGUCAUGGGAACCCUAAAUACAAAAUUUGCUGACUUAGGGAUUAUUUCCUGUCUUUUUAUCCAGUCCUUCCAUGCAGAGAUACAAUGCAGCGCUCAAGAACAAAUUCCUGUGAUCUUCUUGCCCAGCUUCCUUCUUCUCUGUCCUUAGACUCUGGGAUUUAUGCACAUCCAUUAAUAAACCAGCCCAUUUGUUGAACUCAUCUUCUAACAGAGAUUCAAGUGCCAUGGCAGAAAGAGAUGGGACCAGAGUUUUGGUUCCACGUGCAGUGGGUUGAUUGAGCUGUUUAUCUCCCAAGAUGUCCCUGAUGACCAACAAUUGAUUGAUAUAUCACAGCCCAAUGCAACAUUUAACUGGGGCAAGACACCCUGCUUGGUGUCGAGUGAUAUACAAGCUUUCCUGUCAAUAUAAAUGACAUGAGCACUGAAAUACAGCCACAGCCCUUUCCAGGCAAUGUGAAUGAAGGAAAUGAUCAUCUAAACAGUAAUCAUUUCCAGCAGCCGCCUGUUGUUUCCCCAGUGGAUCAUGAUUCAAAUGUGCCAUACAACAUAUCAGUUGAUUGAAUCCUUCUCUGCAGCACAUCUCCAAUGAAUGUCCUGCAACAUGUCACUUACAACUCAGAGAACAGCAUGAAGAAUGUCCUUGUUCUUGUGAGAAUUGAUAAUGCCCUUUUAUUUGAUAGAGGUCAUGUGUUGAGCUGAACACAAAUGAUCGUCAAAAAUUUAAUCUUUUCUAUAUGGUUUUGCAUGUAUAGUUGAUGUUUUGUAUGAUUCUUAAUUGUAGAUAAAGGAUGGGAUUCAUUGCUUAGUACCAACAGAUGGCAAGACCCUCGAGGUUGAUGAUUAGACCAAUGAUUUUUUUGAAUUUGUAUCUUAGUAUUUUUCUGAUGUGAAAAUAUAGUAGCCAAUAGUACUAUAGAAUGUUAUGUAAUAAUAUUUCUUCAAUUCUUAUACAAGUUGUUGUACGAGGAUCAUUGGCAAAUAUAUCAAUCAUAUUGAAGAGAUACAUAUA